rnacentral:rRNA from 1 species
AAGCUGAUCAUUCAAUACCGCGUGUGUGAAGAAGGCCUUAGGGUUGUAAAGCACUUUCAAUUGGAAGGACAAAACUCAUGGCCAAUACCCGUGAGCUUGACAUUACCUUUAGAAGAAGCACCGGCUAACUCCGUGCCAGCAGCCGCGGUAAUACGGAGGGUGCAAGCGUUAAUCGGAAUUACUGGGCGUAAAGCGUGCGUAGGCGGCUCGCUAAGUCAGAUGUGAAAGCCCCGGGCUCAACCUGGGAACGGCAUUUGAAACUGGCAAGCUAGAGUUUAGGAGAGGAGAGUGGAAUUUCAGGUGUAGCGGUGAAAUGCGUAGAGAUCUGAAGGAACACCAGUGGCGAAGGCGACUCUCCGGCCUAAAACUGACGCUGAGGUACGAAAGCGUGGGUAGCAAACAGGAUUAGAUACCCUGGUAGUCCACGCCGUAAACGAUGUCAACUAGCCGUUGGCUCUCUUAGAGAGUUAGUGGCGCAGCUAACGCAUUAAGUUGACCGCCUGGGGAGUACGGNCGCAAGGUUAAAACUCAAAUGAAUUGACGGGGGCCCGCACAAGCGGUGGAGCAUGUGGUUUAAUUCUAUGCAACGCGA